rnacentral:tRNA from 1 species
GGCCCGUUAGCUCAGUUGGUUAGAGCGUCGUGCUAAUAACGCGAAGGUCGCUUGUUCGAUCCCCUCACGGGCCA